UACAGAGGUGGCAAGCGUUGUUCGGAAUUACUGGGCGUAAAGGGCGCGUAGGCGGCCCGUCAAGUCCCGUGUGAAAGCCCCCGGCUCAACCGGGGAACUGCACGGGAAACUAGCAGGCUUGAGUUCGGGAGAGGGAAGCGGAAUUUCGGGGUGUAGCGGUGAAAUUCGUAGAUAUCAGGAGGAACACCCGUGGUGCAGACGGCUUGCUGGACCUCCACUGACGCUGAGGCACGAAAGCGUGGGGAGCAAACAGG
rnacentral:rRNA from 1 species